UACGGGGGGGGGCAAGCGUUGUUCGGAAUUACUGGGCGUAAAGGGCUCGUAGGCGGCCAACUAAGUCAGACGUGAAAUCCCCAGGCUCAACCUGGGAACUGCGUCUGAUACUGGAUGGCUUGAAUUCGGGAGAGGGAUGCAGAAUUCCAGGUGUAGCGGUGAAAUGCGUAGAUAUCUGGAGGAAUACCGGUGGCAAAGGCGGCAUCCUGGACCGACAUUGACGCUGAGGAGCGAAAGCUAGGGGAGCAAACGGG
rnacentral:rRNA from 1 species